GGGGUUGUAGUAUAACUUGGUAGAAUCCAAGGUUCGGGACCUUGUGGUCUGAGUUCAAAUCUCAGCAACCCCA
rnacentral:tRNA from 1 species